UUUCACAGCCAACUGAGCUGUUCUCUUGAGAAUUGCCUGGGAGACAGAAAGCCUUAUUACUGAACUACUUUGCUAUUACUGGAGGUGGAAACAAGGAAGGUUCCGCGUCUCGAGUCUCGGUAUUCACUGCGGAGCAGAGAGAAUGUUCCCGUUUGAAAUUCCCACCGUCUAGCAGCUGCCCUGCGCGCCUUUUCUCCAGGCCUCACCCUGUGGACCAGGAGCUGAAAGACCUGAAAUCCAUUUCACCCGGAACUAUGUGCAUGCAGGCUGUCUUCGGUGUCUUUUUUUCUAAUGUUAAUACUGCCCAUUGCGAGGGGCUAAAAAAGUCAAACCGUUCCCUCGCCUUAGUGUUUAACUUCUUCCUUCCUCUGCCAGGUCUGAGAGCUGAAAAUUGCCUUCAGUGGUUUUUCCAGCAAAAUAGCACCUUUUACAACUUACAGUAGAAGUUGAUUCCGGGAAAGUUUUACAAUCUCAGCUUAUAUCUGAAACUAUUCUCUUACUGGUGCCCUGUGCAAUAAUUUAAGCCAGUAUGAAGCAAAAUUUAGCACAUUUUAAAGUGGAAAAAAGUAAGUUUUCCUGCCAGUUUGGAGAGGGAGAUUAAAAGUAAAAGAGCCAAGAUGGUUCUAAUUCCCCUUGGCACAGGGUCUGUCUGGGGGCAAAACAAAGUGAUCUUGUGUCAGGAGACUGCACAGGAAAGGCCGUGGCGGUGCUUCUGGCCUCUGUACCAAGGUGUGGCAGGGUACCAGCCCUCACGUGGCCAGCUGUUUCAGCUGCCUCCCCAGGAGAGAUGUGAUAAAAUGUGCAGACACCGCAGGGGAGCCCCCAAGGACUCUCUGGUGUUAAUUUUGAUCUUAACCUACAAGGAUGGAGAUGGAACAGGUAACUUGUACUGAGCGUCCUUGCCUAGUAGUUGAACAACUUCUCAGUAUCCACCCUGUUCACCAACUUCUUCCUCCUUUCCUCUCUUCCUUUUUUGAGAAGGACAUUAUAAAUUUGGAGGAACGCUAUGUUGCAAUGUAAUUGGCUCUUUUUUUUUUGGUACCGUAGAUCGAACUCACGAUCUUGUGCUUGCCAGGACAGGUGCUUAUGCCGUGAGCUAAACCCCCAGCCCAAUGUAAUUGGCUCUUAAUUCAUGACUCUAUUACUGUUUCUGCUUUUUAGAGCAUAUUUCUGAUGAAUGAAUAGAAUCACUCUCCCUAAGAGCACCUUUUUUUUUCCUUCGUCUUUUUGAGACAGGGUUUUACUCUGCAGCUCAGGAUAGCCUCGAACUCCCUUUGUAGCCCAGGCUGGCCUUGAACUCACAGUGGUCAACAAGCACUUGGUUACAAGAGUUGGUGAACAGUGUAACUUUUAUUUAGUGUUUGUAAGGUCACAUUUGGUGGGGCAUGCUGGGAAUGGAAUGCGCUUGCCAGGGCAUUGUGCUGCUAAACUAUACCCUCCGGCCUUUUUUUUUUUUUGUCUUUUUGAAAUAAGGUUUCACUAUGCAAUUCAGGCUGGCCUUAAACUCACUUUUUAGCCCCAGGCUGGUCUUGAACUUGCAGCAAUCCUCCUGCCUCAGCCUCCCGAGUGCCAGGAUUCCAGGUGUGUGCCACCAUGCCUAGCUACAAGGUCAUAUUGAAGACUUCAUACCCACAAAGUUGCUGCCAAAUGUUAUUCCCACAUCCACUCACAUUCACAAGUCACUCAAUAUAGGUGCUGAUAGAAAUAGGGUCAUUCGUGUUCCGAAAUAAGGUCUGAUUUCCAGUAUUUUGCUUCUGUAUCAAGGCCACCUUCUUUGUUCCUACCAACUGUCACUGCUAUGAGAUCCAUGUUUUUUUGGGGGGGAACCCAGUUAAAUGUACCCACAUUAUGUUUCAACUUCCAAGGUGUCAUUAGCUGACCUGAUAAAACUUGAUAUCUA